ensembl:lncRNA
UCCGUCAGGCUUUUUUUUUUUUUUUUUUUAAAUCGUUUUAACUUUUGUCUCCUCUCUCUGUUUCUUUUGUUCUUUUCUUUUUAGUGCCUUCUGCUCCCCGCGCUGAUGGAGAAGUGUCGCAGGAGGCCAUUACUGCCUGACCACGUGACCGCAGAAAUCGCCACCCGACCCCCUGCCCCCCGAGUGACACCUUUGAUAGCAUAGAAGAUGUUCCACCGCACAGAUGGGUCCGUGAGUCCAUGUCCUCAUCCAUCACGCCUGAUGCGAGGCUGAUGCCUCUGCACAAAGACGUUACUGAGAUUGGAAAUGAAGGGAGGCCGAUUGGCAAAAAUCUAUGGUGCGAUAACAGGAUGCCAUGAGGUCCAGCUGGAGGGUGAGAGGACCAUGGAUUUGUGGGGGUCUGCCUUCCUGCUGGUUUACCAGUGACCUUCUCAACAGGAGGACCUUCACACCUGGACCACCAGGUGCUUUCUCUGGAACCCAGAACAAAGCAGAAGAUCCCUGUCAUGUAAACACAUGUAGGAAUGACAGAAGGCAAGGACACAGACCAGAGUGGAGGGCUGAAGAUGGCACCACAACGGCUACAUGCACACGUCACCACCAACUACAAAGCAGACAUACAAGCCCCUGUCU